rnacentral:misc_RNA from 1 species
GAUGAAGAACGCAGCGAAAUGCGAUAAGUAAUGUGAAUUGCAGAAUUCAGUGAAUCAUCGAAUCUUUGAACGCACAUUGCGCCCACCAGUAUUCUGGCGGGCAUGCCUGUUCGAGCGUCAUUUCAACCAUCAAGCCCCAGGCUUGUGUUGGGGACCUGCGGCUGCCGCAGGCCCUGAAAACCAGUGGCGGGCUCGCUGUCACACCGGGCGUAGUAGAUUUUAUCUCGCUCAGGGCGUGCUGCGGGUUCCGGCCGUUAAAAAGCCUUUUUUACCCAAGGUUGACCUCGGAUCAGGUAGGAAUACCCGCUGAACUUAAGCAUAUCAAUAAGCGGAGGA